GAUGAACGCUGGCGGCGUGCCUAAUACAUGCAAGUCGAGCGAACGGACGAGAAGCUUGCUUCUCUGAUGUUAGCGGCGGACGGGUGAGUAGCACGUGGAUAACCUACCUAUAAGACUGGGAUAACUUCGGGAAACCGGAGCUAAUACCGGAUAAUAUUUUGAACCGCAUGGUUCAAAAGUGAAAGACGGUCUUGCUGUCACUUAUAGAUGGAUCCGCGCUGCAUUAGCUAGUUGGUAAGGUAACGGCUUACCAAGGCAACGAUGCAUAGCCGACCUGAGAGGGUGAUCGACCACACUGGAACUGAGACACGGUCCAGACUCCUACGGGAGGCAGCAGUAGGGAAUCUUCCGCAAUGGGCGAAAGCCUGACGGAGCAACGCCGCGUGAGUGAUGAAGGUCUUCGGAUCGUAAAACUCUGUUAUUAGGGAAGAACAUAUGUGUAAGUAACUGUGCACAUCUUGACGGUACCUAAUCAGAAAGCCACGGCUAACUACGUG
rnacentral:rRNA from 1 species